rnacentral:rRNA from 1 species
GGCUCAGAUUGAACGCUGGCGGCAUGCUUUACACAUGCAAGUCGAACGGCAGCACGAGUGCUUGCACUUGGUGGCGAGUGGCGGACGGGUGAGUAAUACAUCGGAACGUAUCCUUAAGUGGGGGAUAACGCAUCGAAGAUGUGCUAAUACCGCAUAUUCUCUGUGGAGGAAAGUAGGGGAUCGAAAGACCUUAUGCUUAUGGAGCGGCCGAUGCCUGAUUAGCUUGUUGGUGGGGUAAUGGCCUACCAAGGCGACGAUCAGUAGUUGGUCUGAGAGGACGACCAGCCACACUGGGACUGAGACACGGCCCAGACUCCUACGGGAGGCAGCAGUGGGGAAUUUUGGACAAUGGGCGAAAGCCUGAUCCAGCAAUGCCGCGUGAGUGAAGAAGGCCUUCGGGUUGUAAAGCUCUUUUAGUUAAGAAGAAAAGGUUGUGACUAAUAAUCACAAUUAAUGACGGUAUUAACAGAAAAGCACCGGCUAACUACGUG